rnacentral:tRNA from 1 species
AAAUCCGGUAGUGCGAGGCACGUCGAACUGCAAAUUCGAAUCGGCCGAUUAUUUCUUGGCCCGGACU